rnacentral:lncRNA from 1 species
AACAUUGACUAUAUCCCUCCCCUCAUGACAUAUGCCCUUGGGGCAAAUUUACAAAUGAUAGUUAUUAUUCUUGUUAUUUAUGAGUUGGCCCAAAUGGAAGAACGUUGGAAAAAUUAUGUCUUGCUCUAUACAGAUACUUUGCUCUGAGUUCAAACCCUACCUAAUCCAGUUAACAUUAUAUCUCUUCGAGAUCGAUCGAAAUCGAUCAAAAUCGAGUACCAGUUACGUCCUUAGAAUAAUGGCAUCGCCUAAUCUUUCUCCUGAAAUUCAGCUCUAUGCCAGAAACAAUGAUUAUUGUUGUUGUUCAUGAUGCUGUUGUCAUUUAGGUUUUGAGUUCGAUUAACGUCGAUAUCAGUUUGUUUGUUUCUUUCUUUACGUCUUUCCGGGGUCAAUAAAAUAUACAUCAGUGAAGUACUACUGGGGGUCGAUGAUAUUGACUUAUGCCCCCACCACCCGCCGACAUUUGCUAUUGUUCGUGUUAUUGUUAAUCUCGUAAUUGUUGCCACAACCGAAACCGCCGCCACCACCACCACCACCACCACUACUACCGCCGCCGCCACCACCGCCACCACCACCACCACUACUACCACCACCACCGCCACCACCGCCACCACCACCGCCACCACCACCACUGCCACCGCCAUCACCGCCACCACCCGCCUUUACAAAUCCAAAGAGAUCCGUCAUGGCAGUCAUCAGGCAUCAUCAAUUGAAUAAUUGUUGAUGUCGUUGUUGUUGUUGUUGUUGUUCUCGUUAUUGUUGUCAUUGCUGUUGUGUCAUCGUCAUCGUCGUCGUUGCUGCUGCUACUGCUGCUGCUGCUGCCGUUGUUAUCGAUGACAAUGAAGCUAAACCAUUUGUUGAUGUAAAUGAGAUUUCCUUUCUUUCUCUUUUAAUUUCACGCCAAAACACGCACAGCACUCAACUCCGACACACACACUAAUCGAACUAUCGUAUAAUGUACACACACACAUAACACAUGUACAACACACACAUGUAUAAACACGCAUACAUACGCACAAACAAAACCUCCUGCAUUAAAAUAUUCCUUCUACAAUUGUCAAAAUGAAUAUUGAAAGUAUUAAGAGUGUAUAUAUAUGUGCGUGUGUGCAUGCGUGCGUGAAUAUAUAUAUAUAUAUAUAUAUAUAUAUAUAUAUAUACCCACAGUCUCUAUAUCCGUUGGUCUAUAUAAUUCUUAAUCUAUCGAUUUAUGUGUUUAUAUAUGCGCGCCCGCGUAUGUGCGUGUGUGUGUCUUUGUAUUUUGGAGUAUCGAUCAAGUGAAGCAUGCACAUCUAUAUAUUUGUAUGUUUAUACGCAUGUUUUCUUUUUUACACUUUUAGCAAGUGUUCAUGCAUAUAUAUAUAUAUAUAUAUAUAUAUAUAUAUAUAUAUAUAUAUAUAUAUAUACAUACACACACUCAUAUAUAUAUACAUCUCUGUGUGUAUAAUAUAGACGUGUGUGUUCGUGCGUAGAUUGGUUGUAUGGACGUCAGACUUCAAUUGAAGUGAAUCCAGGGGUGUGUAUGUAUGUACAUGUGUGUGUGUGUGUGUGUGUGUGUAAGAAUGAUGGAGGAAAAGGCAGAUGAAAAGAAGAUUGUAUAAGGUCGGAUGUCGGAGAUAAUAUACACGCGAUAUAACAAAAUAUUCGAUUUUGUUUUAAAUCCUACACAUUUAUACAUAUUUCCACAAUCUAAAAUGUAGACAGAAAUUAAUACCCCGUUACCCGCUUCACCCACCAAACCUACACUACACUUACGAUCACCAAAAUUGAUAAAUUAUCAUUAUCAACUGCUGAUUCUCCUAACACUUCACGGUUAGAAUUUGUCAGCUCUGCGAAAGGACUUUUUUUCUGUUUUUUUAUGAUUUGUUUAGUUUAGUUUCGUGUUUGUGUAUUCUUUCUGUGGUUCCUUUAUUUACAUAUUUAUUGUGACGUUAUCAGAAGAGAAACAUCGAAGGUGAACAUGGAAAUAUAUAUACGUAACAUGCGUUGAAGUUUAAAUAAAUAUGGUAAAGAGGUAUAUAUAUAUAUGAAUGUCUCGUGGUUUUCGGUAGUUCCAAGCCUGUAUACAUGUAUACAUAUAUACAUAUAUAUACAAUAGUACAGGUGUAGGCGUUGGAGGCUGAUACAAUGAAAUAUUAGUCAAGUACUGUCUUCGAUGCAGUGAACUUCGUCUCUCAUUCUUCAGGGCUAAGAUCGAUAACAUAGAGCACCCGUCAAGUACUGGUUUCGAUAUAGUCAACUUUGCUUCUCAUCCUUUAGGCGGGUAGAAUCGAUAAAAUAAAGUAUCAAUCAAGUAUUAUCUUCGAUAUAGCUAAACUUUGCCUUUCAUUCUUCCGCGAGGAGAGUCGAUAAAAUAAAAGUACCGGUUAAGAGCUAGUGGAGGAGGGUCGAUACGUCGAAACAGACGGGAGAGUCCAUCAUAUAUAUAAUAUAUAUAUAUAGGCGUAGGAGUGGCUGCGUGGUAAGCAGCUUGCUUACCAACCACAUGGUUCCGGGUUCAGUCCCACUGCGUGGCACCUUGGGCAAGUGUUUUCUGCUAUAGCCUCGGGCCGACCAAAGCCUUGUGAGUGGAUUUGGUAGAUGGAAACUGAAAGAACCUCGUCGUAUAUAUUGAUUGAUUGAUUGAUUCUAGUUUCAGCUCAUGAGCUGUGGCCAUGCUGGGGCACCGCCAUUUAUAUAUAUGUAUGUAUGUAUGUAUGUAUGUAUGUAUGUGCGUGUAUAUGUUUGUGUGUCUGUACUUGUGUCCCCGUAACUUAGCGGUUCGGCAAAAGAAAUCGAUAGAAUAAGUACUAGGCUUACAAAGAAUAAGUCCUGUGGUUGAUUUGCUCGACUAAAGGCGAUGCUCCUGCAUGGCCACAGUCACAUGACUGAAACAAGUAAAAGAUUAAAAAAGUAAAAAAGUAUAUAUAUAUAUAUAUAUAUAACGACACCCUCCUCUUCUCUUCCCCACGCACCUUUACAUAUUAUAGGUGUGGUGGCCUUGUGCCUGCGCUGCAAAUCGAUACGAUCGGUACCUGAUGUAUGUCCACAUUCUGUUUCCUUCAUGCAGAAACAUUCUACGCAAUGUAAAACUCUGCUGCGAUCGCGUUACGCUGUCGCAACAGCGGGUAGCGGAUGUGUUCUUAUGCUCUUUAGAUACUUUUACCUGUAGAUGUUGUUUGACACGUUAUCAGGUUUCAAACAGAGUAAUCUCUCUCUCUCCCCGACCCCAUCUCUCACUCCCUCGCUCUCACACCUUUUCCUCACUCUUACUCUCUCUCUCUUUCUGUCUCUCUCUCUCCCUUUCUCUCUCUCUCUCUCUCUCUUACUCUCUCACUCUUACCUUCCUUCGCUCUCUCUGUCGUUCUCUCUCUUUCCGUGUGUACACAGAAAGUUACGUCUUAAUGUUUUGAUAAUUCGAUUUAACUUAUUAUGUAAAUUUGUAUAUUUUAUUUAAUCAUUUUAUACUUGAAACAAGAUAAAUAUGUUCAAAAUGUAAACCCUCACCUGCUUCAUCAGAUUUCGAAUUGUGUAUAUACAUACAUAGACACGCACGCACAUAUAUACACACGCAUAUGUACAUACAUAGACACACUCCCACAUGUAAUAUAUAUAGACACACACGCACACAUUAAUAUCUAGCAUAUAUUUACGUUUUGAGUUCAAAUUCCUAGGGGUCUGACUUUGCUUUUAACCUUUCGGGGUCGAGAAAAUCAGUUGAGUAUUGGGGUCUUUGUAAUCGACUUACCACCGCCCUCCCCACCGAAAGUUGCUGAUAUAUAUAUAGAUAGAUAGAUAGAUAGAUAGAUAGAUAGAUAGAUAGAUAGAUACAUACAUACAUACAUACAUACAUACAUACAUACAUACAUACAUACAUACAUAUAUACAUACAUACAUAGAAAGAUAGAUUGAUAGCUAGAUAGAUAGCUAUAGAUAUAUAGAUAUAGACAGAUGUUUAUAUACGUGUGUGUGUGUGUAUGGAUAUAUAUACAUACACACAGACAUAUAUAUGUAUAUACACAUAUAUCCAUAAACUUACAUAUGCUCACAUAUAUACAUACGUGUAUACAUUCGCAUAGUUGUACAUUCAAGCUCAUUGCAUUCGUAUAUCCGUUGUAUAUUAGUGUUAAUGCAAAAAGUAGAUGCUAAAAGUAAUUAAAGCAGCUGAUAUGAUUUCGUUGUAUUUCAUACCAAGUUCAAUUCCUACCGUCUGAGGUUUGUUUUUUAAUCUUUCUAAGGUCAAUAAAAUAAAGUACUAUCUAAGGCCUAGGGUUAAUGUAAAUUGACUGCAGUUGUUCCUUUAAAAAUAUUUUGUACGUAUUCAUAUUUCGAAGAUUGGUAAGAGCACGUUCGGUAGGGAGAGGUUGACGGAAUAUUUUGUGGGUGGUUCUUUACAUGGUCUAAGUUCACAUCACAACAGAGUCAAUCGACUUUUCUCCUUUGUCAUUCAUCUACCGGAUGAAUUUAGGGAAGAUAACAUAAGCAAUCAUUCCAAGAUUUGGAGUCCACUUCCAUUACCAAUCAGUCAAGCACUGACGUCGAUUUAGCGGCCAGCAUCCUCUCCACCACUUCCCAUCCCAAAUACGUUGCCUGACCUUCUGUCUAUGACGGCAGAAUAGUUAAGGCGUUGGAAACAUUGCCAUGAGGUAUUUUUUUGUUACACCUCUUUAUACUUUGAUUUCAAUUCCCACCUGUGUCAAUUAACUUUGAUAUGUUCAUCCUUGUGAAGUUGAUUAAAUAAGUACCAGUCUCUCUCUCUCUCUUUCCCUCUCUCUUUGUCUCUCUCCCUCUAUCUAUGUGUAUAUAUAUAUAUAUAUAUAUAUAUAUAUCGAUAGAUAAAUAGCUAAAACAUAUCCAGUCUAUCGUUUCCUCUCACUAAAAUGUAUGGGCUUGUAUCUGUCAGAAGUCAUUAUGUUCAACAUCACUAUUAUAACUAGAGGAGCCUAACAGGAAAUAUAUUGUUAAACCUUUACAGUAGAUACGCCAAGAUGUUAUUCAUAAACGAGGUGUGGUUUCCAUUCUUU